rnacentral:rRNA from 1 species
GAUGAACGCUGGCGGCGUGCUUAACACAUGCAAGUCGAACGGGCUCUUCGGAGCUAGUGGCGGACGGGUGAGUAACGCGUGAGAAUCUGCCUACAGGACGGGGACAACAGUUGGAAACGACUGCUAAUACCCGAUGUGCCGAGAGGUGAAACAUUUAUGGCCUGUAGAUGAGCUCGCGUCUGAUUAGCUAGUUGGUGGGGUAAGGGCCUACCAAGGCGACGAUCAGUAGCUGGUCUGAGAGGAUGAUCAGCCACACUGGGACUGAGACACGGCCCAGACUCCUACGGGAGGCAGCAGUGGGGAAUUUUCCGCAAUGGGCGCAAGCCUGACGGAGCAACGCCGCGUGGGGGAGGAAGGUUUUUGGACUGUAAACCCCUUUUCUCAGGGAAGAAGAAAGUGACGGUACCUGAGGAAUAAGCCUCGGCUAAUUCCGUGCCAGCAGCCGCGGUAAUACGGGAGAGGCAAGCGUUAUCCGGAAUUAUUGGGCGUAAAGCGUCCGCAGGCGGUUAAUCAAGUCUGUUGUCAAAGCGUGGGGCUCAACCUCAUACAGGCAAUGGAAACUGAUUGACUAGAGUAUGGUAGGGGUAGCGGGAAUUCCAGGUGUAGCGGUGAAAUGCGUAGAUAUCUGGAAGAACACCAGCGGCGAAAGCGCGCUACUGGGCCAUAACUGACGCUCAUGGACGAAAGCUAGGGGAGCGAAAGGGAUUAGAUACCCCUGUAGUCCUAGCCGUAAACGAUGAACACUAGGUGUUGCGUGAAUCGACCCGCGCAGUGCCGUAGCCAACGCGUUAAGUGUUCCGCCUGGGGAGUACGCACGCAAGUGUGAAACUCAAAGGAAUUGACGGGGGCCCGCACAAGCGGUGGAGUAUGUGGUUUAAUUCGAUGCAACGCGAAGAACCUUACCAGGGUUUGACAUCCCCCGAAUCUCUUGGAAACGAGAGAGUGCCUUCGGGAGCGGGGAGACAGGUGGUGCAUGGCUGUCGUCAGCUCGUGUCGUGAGAUGUUGGGUUAAGUCCCGCAACGAGCGCAACCCACGUUUUUAGUUGCCAUCAUUCAGUUGGGCACUCUAGAGAAACUGCCGGUGACAAACCGGAGGAAGGUGUGGACGACGUCAAGUCAUCAUGCCCCUUACAUCCUGGGCUACACACGUACUACAAUGCUCCGGACAGCGAGACGCGAAGCCGCGAGGUGAAGCAAAUCUCCCAAACCGGGGCUCAGUUCAGAUUGCAGGCUGCAACUCGCCUGCAUGAAGGCGGAAUCGCUAGUAAUCGCAGGUCAGCAUACUGCGGUGAAUACGUUCCCGGGCCUUGUACACACCGCCCGUCACACCAUGGAAGUUGGCCAUGCCCGAAGUCGUUACCCUAACCGUUCGCGGAGGGGGGCGCCGAAGGUAGGGCUGAUGACUGGGGUGAAGUCGUAACAAGGUAGCCGUACCGGAAGGUGUGGCUGGAUCACCUCCUU